AUUAAAUCAGUUAUAAUUUAUUUGAUGGUCCUUUUACUACUUGGAUAACCGUGGUAAAUCUAGAGCUAAUACAUGCACAAAAUCCUAACUAAUUUUAUUGGGAGGGAUGUAUUUAUUAGAUUCAAAAGCCAAUGCCAUUCUCCUCGGAGGAUGGAAAUUUUUCAUAUGGUGAUUCAUGAUAACUUUACGAAUCGUAUGGUCUUGCACCGACGAUAGUUCAUUCAAAUAUCUGCCCUAUCAACUUUCGAUGGUAGUAUAGAGGACUACCAUGGUGGUAACGGGUAACGGAGAAUCAGGGUUUGAUUCCGGAGAAGGAGCCUGAGAAACGGCUACUACUUCCAAGGAAGGCAGCAGGCGCGCAAAUUACCCAAUCCCGACACGGGGAGGUAGUGACAAAAAAUAACAAUACCGGUCUCAAAAGAGUCUGGUAAUUGGAAUGAGUACAAUCUAAACCCUUUAACGAGUAUCAAUUGGAGGGCAAGUCUGGUGCCAGCAGCCGCGGUAAUUCCAGCUCCAAUAGCAUAUAUUAAAGUUGUUGCAGUUAAAAAGCUCGUAGUUGGAUUUUGAAGCUACUUAUCGUGAUCCGCCCUGUCGGGUGUGCGUCGUGGUAAGUACUUCUCCUAACUAGAUAUUCACCAUUGCACUUAAUUGGGUGAUGGUUUUGCUCUUCUUCGGGGGAGUGAGUAGUAGGUAGACCCAUUGGAGUCGGAUUGUGGAUGAGGUGCUGCUUCGGCGGUGCGUUCUGCUGAUUUCAAUGACUAUCUACUAGAAUUCUAGUUCUUUUACUUUGAGUAAAUUAGAGUGUUCAAGGCAAGCAAGAUUGUUCUGCAAUGAAUACUAUUAGCAUGGGAUAAUGGAACAGGACACGUAUUCUAGUUUUUCGUUGGUUUCUAGAAUUUUUAGUGUAAUGAUUAAAAGGGAUAGUUGGGGGCAUUCGUAUUUAAUUGUCAGAGGUGAAAUUCUUGGAUUCAUGAAAGACUAACUUCUGCGAAAGCAUUUGUCAAAGAUGUUUUCAUUAAUCAAGAACGAAAGUUAGGGGAUCGAAGACGAUCAGAUACCGUCGUAGUCUUAACCAUAAACUAUGCCGACCAGGGAUUGGAAGAUGUUUUAACUUUUUAUACAAAAAGAGGACUCCUCCAGCACCUUACGAGAAAUCAUAAGUCUUUGGGUUCUGGGGGGAGUAUGGUCGCAAGGCUGAAACUUAAAGGAAUUGACGGAAGGGCACCACCAGGAGUGGAGCCUGCGGCUUAAUUUGACUCAACACGGGAAAACUUACCAGGUCCAGACACAGUUAGGAUUGACAGAUUGAGAGCUCUUUCUUGAUUCUGUGGGUGGUGGUGCAUGGCCGUUCUUAGUUGGUGGAGUGAUUUGUCUGGUUAAUUCCGAUAACGAACGAGACCUCAGCCUGCUAAUUAGUGAUGCAAAUGAUAACAUCCGCAAGGGGAGGGUUUCGAUGGAAGGUCGGGGGCAACUCUGACAUUUCGUCGGGAAACUCGUUUUCAUUUGUGAGAGGGGGGCGGUUCGCCGUUCUUCUCGUUAAUGACUUCUUAGAGGGACACUUGGUGUUUAACCAAGGGAAGUUUGAGGCAAUAACAGGUCUGUGAUGCCCUUUAGAUGUUCUGGGCUGCACGCGCGCUACACUGAUACGAUCAACGAGUACUGAAAACCUCGGCCGAAAGGUCGGGGUAAACUUAUGAAAUCGUAUCGUGCUGGGGAUCGAUAAUUGCAAUUAUUUAUCGUGAACGAGGAAUUCCUAGUAAGCGCAAGUCAACAGCUUGCGCUGAUUACGUCCCUGCCCUUUGUACACACCGCCCGUCGCUACUAUCGAUGUUUAGUCCGGUGAAAUUUUAGGAUCUGUGACAUACACUUGCUGUUCUUUCGGGAGUAGUGAGUUUGUUGUGGAGAAUUUGAGUGAACCUUGCUAAAUAGAGAAAGUAAAAGUCGUAACAAGGUAUUC
rnacentral:rRNA from 1 species